rnacentral:rRNA from 1 species
AGCAGCCGCGGUAAUUCCAGCUCCAAUAGCGUAUAUUAAAGUUGUUGCAGUUAAAAGCUCGUAGUUGAAUUUCGGGAUCAAUAUGUUGGUCGUGCCUCGGUACGUACUAGCAUAUUGGUUUCUCCUUUCUGAAGAACCAUGAUGUCAUUUAUUUGGUGUCGUGGGGAAUCAGGACUGUUACUUUGAAAAAUUGAGUGUUUAAAGCAGGCUCACGCUUGAAUACAUUAGCAUGGAAUAAUGAAAUAGGACGUUUGAUUCUAUUUUGUUGGUUUCUAGGAUCGACGUAAUGAUUAAUAGGGAUAGUUGGGGGCAUUAGUAUUCAAUUGUCAGAGGUGAAAUUCUUGG